UGGGGAAUAUUGCGCAAUGGACGCAAGUCUGACGCAGCGACGCCGCGUGAGGGAUGAAGGUUUUCGGAUCGUAAACCUCUGUCAGGAGGGAAGAAAGCGCGUGGUGCCAAUCAGCCGCGUGUUGACGGUACCUCCAAAGGAAGCGCCGGCUAACUCCGUGCCAGCAGCCGCGGUAAUACGGAGGGCGCGAGCGUUAAUCGGAAUCACUGGGCGUAAAGGGCGCGUAGGCUGUUGUGUAAGCCAGAGGUGAAAGCCCGCAGCUCAACUGCGGAAUAGCCUUUGGGACUGCAUGACUUGAAUCCAGGAGAGGGCGGCGGAAUUCCAGGUGUAGGAGUGAAAUCCGUAGAUAUCUGGAGGAACACCAGCGGCGAAGGCGGCCGCCUGGCCUGGCAUUGACGCUGAGGCGCGAAAGCGUGGGGAGCAAACAGG
rnacentral:rRNA from 1 species